AAAGAAGGAGCAAUCAAGUCGCUCAACUAGAGGUGCAUCUUCCAGGGGAUUCCCUCGAGGAAUGGGGGCCAGUAUAGAUGACAUCCUCGAUGGCCCUUACCGGAUGGUGGCAUUCAGCGACCUAGAGGUUAUGGCAGCUCUUCAUGAUGUGAUGAGCUACCCUGCCAACUUGCCUAGCACCAAGCAAACCCGAAGGUGGAUCCCAUCAAAAAGAAGAUGAUGUCCCAGAGAAUGUCAUGGGAAAUAGAUGAA